GGAAUGGAAUGAAACAGACUUGAAGUGCAAAAGGCGAGAGUUGUAUGAGGAAAAUGCGAGGCGAUUUGUGGCCUGUGCGGUGCUGAUGUAAACCGACAGUGUUCAGAGCAGGAGAUGCAAGCUCCUCUCGGACACCGCUGGGAAUGCAUUCACAUGCUUGGCACGAAGUGGAAAAAUUGUGCCCGAGUUUUCGGCCUCAACACAGCAGCUCUUUCUUCCUGCCAGGCGGCCAGCAGCCAAUCACAGCGCCGCGUUGGGAGAGGGGAGGUGGGAAAUCCAGGAGUGCCCUUUCAGGAUUGGAGUGCGGACUCAGAACAACACGCAGGGGAUCGGAGCUUGAAGUACAUAGUAUACGUACAGAGCUGUCUUUUUAAGUACAGCAUUGUACAUGUCACAUAUAGAAAGGGAUUACUUGCCAUGUAUUUGUUUUAGGCAGCAUCAAGCCAGAAAAAUAGGCUAUUCAUAGACAAUAAAGUUCAGUAUGCAGUCUACAUGCAAUAAAGUGAGGUAAUUAUCUACUAUUUAUCUACCUGCCGACUGAUCGCCCAACCGACUAUAUCUAUUGUUUAAUCGAGCUAAAUGUCAAAAUCAAAGCCCGCGAAAGUGAAUCAAGUGCGUCAACCUUUCCUCAUGCUGCACCAUCAGUGAAUGAAUAAGACCUGUAUUUGUUUCCAUGGCAGCGUACAUUAUUAUGACAGUUGUCAUAAUGCAUGAACAAAGCGAGGUGAGUCUGGCUGAAGGCCUUCCAGGAAUAUUAAUAAUCAGUGUGAAGACCAAGGAGGCUAGUCAUUAUAAUGCAGCAGCCUGAUUUGGUAAAUUUCCUGUUAAUUUGCACGUACCACCCUGUACAAUAUGUGGCAAAAUAUCUUUUGUUCCAUAUUUUCUCACCUACGAUUAAAAAUGUGCUCACAUUUAGCCUUUGUACUCACCACUGACAUUAUAAAAGUGUCACUUUAGAGAUUCUGGAGAGGAAAAAGAAAAGUGAUGAGUGACGCGCCAGUCAAAUGUAUCUGAAAUGUGAUUACAGCGCUGUGCGCGUAAUUAGCCAACACACAAAGGACGUUGAAAUGUGACCCCGAGUGUUAAGACACAGAUAUGAGUGCACGCUUGGAUUCAUUUAUGCUUUUAUCAAGAAUGGAUAUUGGGAUAUUAAUAUUAUGAAGUAAUUACUGAAUGUUUAAACCUUUCUCAAAUUUGGAUAAUUUGUGUCUAUGUGCAAAAAGAAAUAGUAAAAAACAUGUUAUUUUGUUUACUAUAUUGCACAGUGGAAAACAGAAGGAUUACUGUGUGUGCGUGGGGGGUGAGUCUCUUCACAGCCACACUGGAGUCAGGAGCACUUUCCAGUGUUUAAGGGCAUUGUUAAUCUAAUUUAAUCUACUUCAUAGUCUAGUACGCAGCUGUAUUUUAAUGUUGGUCAAGACGGUGAUACUUGUAGAGUUAAGUAUGUUUUUUUUUAGGUGGCAUUUGGUGCAAAAGGUUUAAGAAACCACUGGUCUCCACUGCGGUUGCAUCGCAAAAAAAAGAAAGGAAGAAAAAAACUUAAUAUUUUUAAUCCAAAUAUAUGACAAACCUUUACUGACCCUAACAAACAUCAUUGUGCCAUUUAAAUACUGUCACUCUUGAAAUUGCAGUCUAAGGGCAGCUGUCUGUUUAACUUUAACGAGCAGCAUUUCCCCUCGUCAUGGUUUUAAUCCCCAUUCAUUUUAUUCCCACCUUUGAUCAAUUCGCACACGCUUUGUAUCCCCAUU